AAAACUUUCAACAACGGAUCUCUUGGUUCUGGCAUCGAUGAAGAACGCAGCGAAAUGCGAUAAGUAAUGUGAAUUGCAGAAUUCAGUGAAUCAUCGAAUCUUUGAACGCACAUUGCGCCCUGUGGUAUUCCGCAGGGUAUGCCUGUUCGAGCGUCAUU
rnacentral:rRNA from 1 species